AGAGCGAACGCUGGCGGCAGGCUUAACACAUGCAAGUCGAGCGGGCGUAGCAAUACGUCAGCGGCAGACGGGUGAGUAACGCGUGGGAACGUACCUUUUGGUUCGGAACAACCCAGGGAAACUUGGGCUAAUACCGGAUAAGCCCUUACGGGGAAAGAUUUAUCGCCGAAAGAUCGGCCCGCGUCUGAUUAGCUAGUUGGUGAGGUAAUGGCUCACCAAGGCGACGAUCAGUAGCUGGUCUGAGAGGAUGAUCAGCCACAUUGGGACUGAGACACGGCCCAAACUCCUACGGGAGGCAGCAGUGGGGAAUAUUGGACAAUGGGCGCAAGCCUGAUCCAGCCAUGCCGCGUGAGUGAUGACGGCCUUAGGGUUGUAAAGCUCUUUUGUGCGGGAAGAUAAUGACGGUACCGCAAGAAUAAGCCCGGCUAACUUCGCGCCAGCAGCCGC
rnacentral:rRNA from 1 species